GGUUUUUCCAUGUCCUUUAAUCUCCAGUAAAUAAUCCCUCAUUUCCUUGUGGUCUUUCUAAUUCCAUGCUCUGUGCCGGCACUUCCUGUAAACAGCGGGUCUGGUGGCCCUUAAUUGAGACACUUGCCAGCUGUGCAAAGGGCACGUGGCAGGGCUGUGCUUGGGGCUGGAUGUGGCAGUUCCAGAAGGCUGAAUAAUGGAAAUUAGGAGCUUGGUUCUCCUCUUCAUCCAGGCAGAAGACAGGGCAAGCCAUGGUGCAGCCGGUGAGUAAUUCAGUUUUAAAACCAGGACAUAUGGAAACAGCAGGUGUCAUCAGCCUGCCUCAACACUUCACACUAUCCAGUCUGAAGAAAUGAUGGGUGGGUCAGUGCUUGAAAGUACAACCGGAAUAAAUAGUGUGAAAUGAAUUCCCUGUGGUACAUACUUCCACUGGCACUGCAAGAGUCUGUGCAGAAGCCAUGAGCAGGCCUGUCUCAGCCCUUAGUUAUUACAUUUCCAGUCUAAAAUCUUGAAUGAAUUCCUAAAAUGAAGGUCUGUGCUUUCUGAAGACCCAUCUUGGUGCUCAUCUGCACAGGUCUUGAUCUUUCACUGUCUUGUGGAUACAAAGCUUCCAAAUCCUCCAGUGUGCUCCAAUAGCAAGGAAGGCGGAGAAGGUAUUUUCCAACCAAAAUCUCUUCGGUUCUAUUUUGACUUCAAGUCGUUGAAAGAUUUGCAGCAUCAGAUAUCCAUCCUCAAGCCUGGCAGUUUAUUUUCUUCAGAGAUGCAAACAAGCCUUAAGAGGGGCAGACAAGAUUUACCCAGGCAGCCAUUGGAGCCCUUGAGCCCUGAUGCCAAUAAUCCUCAUCUGGAGUCGGUCCCGUUGGCUCCAGCCACUGCUGAGCUUGCUGGUGGAGAAAACCACUGCAUUGGAUCAAACCAAUGUUAAAGGAGACUUCACAGAAGUUAAUAGCUAGUGGUCAAGAGGAGCUGCCAAACUCUUGCUUUCUCAGUAACUAAUAAAAGUGCUUUUUAACACA
rnacentral:lncRNA from 1 species